UUAAAUUGAAGAGUUUGAUCAUGGCUCAGAUUGAACGCUGGCGGCAGGCUUAACACAUGCAAGUCGAACGGUAACAGGAAGCAGCUUGCUGCUUUGCUGACGAGUGGCGGACGGGUGAGUAAUGUCUGGGAAACUGCCUGAUGGAGGGGGAUAACUACUGGAAACGGUGGCU
rnacentral:rRNA from 1 species